AACGAACGUUAGCGGCGCGCCUAACACAUGCAAGUCGCACGAGAAAGGGCUUCGGCCCCGGUAAAGUGGCGCACGGGUGAGUAACACGUGGGUAAUCUUCCCUCGAGCGGGGGAUAACAUUCCGAAAGGAGUGCUAAUACCGCAUAAGACCACGGACUCGAAAGAGUCUGCGGUCAAAGCUGGCCUCUGUACACAAGCUAGCACUUGAGGAUGAGCCCGCGGCCCAUCAGGCAGUCGGCAGGGUAACGGCCUACCAAACCUAAGACGGGUAGCUGGUCUGAGAGGAUGAUCAGCCACACUGGAACUGAGACACGGCCCAGACUCCUACGGGAGGCAGCAGUGGGGAAUCUUGCGCAAUGGACGAAAGUCUGACGCAGCGACGCCGCGUGAGUGAUGAAGGCCUUCGGGUUGUAAAGCUCUGUGGGGAGAGAAGAAUUAGUGGAGGCUAAUCACUCCAUGAUGACGGUAUCUCCUUAGCAAGCACCGGCUAACUCUGUGCCAGCCGCCGCCGAAACAC
rnacentral:rRNA from 1 species